CUAUUGUGUACUAUCUCUUGUUUUCGUCAGUGUUGCCAAUUUAGCGACUUCGUCGCUAGAAAUGACGACUUUAGCUUAAGUCUUGGUGACAAAAUUUAUUUAGCUACUUGCCGACUUUUGGAGUACAAAUAAAAACAGUUUUAGACAAUGGAUACGGUUUUAUCAAUAAAAAAAAAACCUAAAAUUCGAAAGAGUAUUCAGUUCUAUGAAAAUUAUAAAACAAAAGAACGGAAUAGAUUGUCGUUAAAAACAGUUAAUGUGUUGAUCCUGUUGAGAGAUCAGUUGAAAAGACAAAAUAAAGAUUGUGCAUAUUUUGAAAUACCGUCGGAAGUGCUGCAACGCUCGUUGGCUGCAACUCAUUGGAACGAACAAAAGUUAUUCUUUUGCAACAAAAACCGUUCAGCUGCAACAUCAGCUUUUGAGUGACGUUCAACUGUCUACUUAAACUGCGUCUGUCUCAUAUGAGCACGAGACCGAAAAAUAAUUUGAUUUAUUAAGUGACAUGAAUGAAUAAUUUACAUAUAGAUAUUUUAAUCUGAUUUAAUUCUUGUUACAUUUCGUUAUAAAUGCAUUUGUAUAUUUCUAGUAUUUUUUGCAGUUGUGAUUUAAACAAUUUAUGUGACUGUUACAAUGAUGAUAAUAUACUUAAUUAAAAGUUAACGUUUUUAUGUGUAUGUAGUUGCAAACGAUGGGUUAUUUUAUUAUAAUUUAAUUACUUACCAACCAAUUUUUAUUAAAUUUUUUUCACGUGCGGAUAAACAUUAUCACCCCCAUCCACCCGUAUUUUAAUGACGCCACUGGCUUUUGUGACCCCUCCCAGAACGUCAGCCUAGUGAUUCGAAUUUAUUGGGGUUGGCAACACUGUCGUCAAUGAGUACAAGUAAUGACAACGUUGUUUACAGCUCCCAGGAAUUUUCUUUGGAACAUAGAGGCACGAUAUAAAUAAAUCCCGUUGUUCCGAAAAGUGGCAGCAGGAUGCCGGUGGGUGAACUCGGCCGCAGCGGUGUGGAAGGACACGAGGAGAAGAGGGUGACUAUCUUCGCGCGUCGUCUGGUGGCCGCGCGACCUCGACGGGGCUGCUGCUGACGGAGUGACAUCGGGAACACACGACGGGGGCGGGCGAGUCUCUGACCUUCCAUCUUACCGGCUCAAGUUCUUCAUGUCCU